UACGUAGGGGGCAAGCGUUGCCCGGAUUUACUGGGCGUAAAGAGCGUGUAGGCGGCCAUGCAGGUCCGUUGUGAAAACUGGAGGCUUAACCUCCAGACGUCGACGGAAACCGCGUGGCUAGAGUCCGGAAGAGGAGAGUGGAAUUCCUGGUGUAGCGGUGAAAUGCGCAGAUAUCAGGAAGAACACCAAUGGCGAAGGCAGCUCUCUGGGACGGUACUGACGCUGAGACGCGAAAGCGUGGGGAGCGAACAGG
rnacentral:rRNA from 1 species